GAAAGAACAGGUACCUUCACAACCUGGAAAUUUUGAAAAACUGAAUGAACUAAAAGUCCUGCUUUUCCCACCAAAGGUCUGUUGAAGAGGCUCAGCUGGGGAAUGAAAGAUAAGGACAAAGAACAUUUGGACUCAGCGAAAGCUUAUUGAGGCUGUGCUGCACUUUUUUGAAGAGAGUUAUUGGCAUGAUUUUCUGAGAACAAGAGGAAAAUGGAAAACAUUUUAGCAAGUUAAGGGAAAAAAAAUCAACAGUAUCAUUGUUUGCCGCUUUUGUUGAAACUACCUACACAAGUCAUUUGAGGGACAUGAAGAUGGAUAAAGUAUUAGACAUGACAGAAGGUGCAGUUGUGAGGGAAAUCAUAAAUCUUGGGUCUUUUCUGAGGUAAGAAAAAGGUGAAGGCCAGAUGCCUCCAGUUUUCUAGAAGUUAACUUAUGCUUGCUUACACUCAUAUAUAGCAACACUCUCCCUUUUCUCUCUUCUUUCUCAUUAACCAAGCCUUCCUGUUUGUAGAGAAAAAACUAUCGACUGUCAGUGUUACACUCAUAUUUUUCAGAUACUUUUUAUUUCUUCAAAACUCACAUAUCUUAUUUAUUAAGAGUUUUCUGAAGGAAAUUAAAUAGAAUUAUUUUAAUUAGUUUUGCAUUCUAAAGAAGUUCUUGAGAUUUUGGUAACUGUCCAAUGUAUUGUUCUCUAAAUCUAAGAAAAAGAGAAUAACCAGAGUAAAAAGAAAUAGAGAAGCAAGUCAAAAAAAUUAGGGCAAGGGCUACUGAGAAAAAUAAAGCUGAUUGGCAGAAAGAAAAAGUAAACUUU
rnacentral:lncRNA from 1 species